ensembl:lncRNA
CGAGUACAGAUCCCUUUGUGGCUCACACCGCAGACUAAUGCAGGUCAACCACAUGGAAAAGCGUUGCUGGAUCCAGGGCCUUUGAACACAGAGGCUCACACAGGACGUGUUUUAGGGGACGCGGUAGAUGAGGCUACCAGAAACCGUAUAGUGAAGGAACACAACAGACCAGGGCUUCCAUAGGGUAACUGAGCUGAGAUGACCUGGCAGAGAAAGAUCUGGGCGAGAUGGCCCUGGGGAGGAGCCAUGUUCCUUGGACCGGCGACCGAGCCUCACCGGAUCUCCUCUUCCCUGCUCUCUUUCUGGGGAGUGAGUCUUUCUAUCCAGAGUGUCCUGAUGUGUGGGCUGUUGAAAGGGCGGUCCAAGAUCACCGGUUUACCCUCGUGAAUGUCCCUCCAGCCUUCUGCCCACCCGAACCCUCAAAGACCAGAAAUGAAGGCAUGCCUGGGGAAAAAGCCACGCCAAGCCAUCUCCAGCGUCAGCCUCACCC